rnacentral:rRNA from 1 species
UGGGGAAUUUUGGACAAUGGGCGAAAGCCUGAUCCAGCAAUGCCGCGUGUGUGAAGAAGGCCUUCGGGUUGUAAAGCACUUUUGUCCGGAAAGAAAUCCUUGGCUCUAAUACAGUCGGGGGAUGACGGUACCGGAAGAAUAAGCACCGGCUAACUACGUGCCAGCAGCCGCGGUAAUACGUAGGGUGCAAGCGUUAAUCGGAAUUACUGGGCGUAAAGCGUGCGCAGGCGGUUUGCUAAGACCGAUGUGAAAUCCCCGGGCUCAACCUGGGAACUGCAUUGGUGACUGGCAGGCUAGAGUAUGGCAGAGGGGGGUAGAAUUCCACGUGUAGCAGUGAAAUGCGUAGAGAUGUGGAGGAAUACCGAUGGCGAAGGCAGCCCCCUGGGCCAAUACUGACGCUCAUGCACGAAAGCGUGGGGAGCAAACAGGAUUAGAUACCCUGGUAGUCCACGCCCUAAACGAUGUCAACUAGUUGUUGGGGAUUCAUUUCCUUAGUAACGUAGCUAACGCGUGAAGUUGACCGCCUGGGGAGUACGGUCGCAAGAUUAAAACUUCAAAU